UUACUAACUCCAUAUAUAACUGUUUAUUAACUAUAUAAUCAAACAACUCGAUUCGUAAGAUAAUUAAAAAAUAUCUACUUACAGAACACAGAUACUGUAACCAAAAAGCCUUAACAUCAACCUAUACUCCACAAUCGAUAUACAAAAUACAAUCGUUUCAUUUCUCAAUGUUUCUCAAACAUCAGCUACGAAACAAAAACUACCUGCACAUGGUAGCAGCGGGCCUGCGCGUUUCCAUAGUUCGUUGCACGAAGCGGGAGAAAAUCGGUUCCUAGAAUCUAUCUCACAGCGACGACGCCAAGACUACGCGAACGAAAGGAGGAAUUUCGAAAGUGUGGCAGCCGACGAAGGACCUUGAGGAUCCCUCGUCGAGGAUCCCUUCGACCGUUACCAGGGACAGCUGUCUGCGAGCAAUGCCGCGAACCAGCAUAAAGUGCGGCUUGGUCGACGAUUCACGACGCGGAUGACGCCAUUCCCUACCUUCUAGCGUUUCUUCCUACACCACAUGAAGCCCCGUUCACACGGUACCUCGACCUCCAGGCUUCCUAGGCUGCAUCCUCCCGAACCAAUUGCCACCAGAUGGCAAGGACUAUCAGCGUGAAGACAGAAAUACCUAAUAAUAGAAUGCACGAAUGACAAACACAAAGCGAAGAUAGUCGCUAGAGACUAGAUUUUGUUGCAGAAACGUCUAAAGUUUGACAACUGGAAUUGAUAUAUAAGUUAUUCGAAUAUUAAACUCAUCAACUUUGUUUUAUGGAACGUCCGUUAACUUUACUGCCAAAGUACACGAGUAGUGUUUAGCGUUUGGAUAAAAAUAGGUUUUGUUAUAACUGGAGUACAAAUUUCUAUGCAUUUAUGGGAAAUUCAAAGAUGCAGAAAAAUGCAUAGAGCGCAAACAAUACGCAGGAAUAUGUAAAAUAACCAAAGUACGUGAAACGAAUCGCUUCUCAGGUCCUGCUUUUUCAAUAUCAUUUUCAUACAAUUUGCCUAAAUAUUUACAUCUUCUAGAUAGAAGCUCAUUCAUUUAUCCCACCAGUCGUAUAGAAUAUCUAGCAAUUCUGACUAUAGUCACUUACAGGCCACAGGAUGUGAUCUUAGAAAGGAAACUGGCAAUCAUUGGACGACGGGACACCGAACGAACUCUCAUACCGAAAAAUAUGUCAGAACACGUGUUGGCGAAGCCCCAGAACAUCUUCGAACCGAAUCCUUAGGAUCUUGUAGUUCAAUGCGCCUCGAAUGCGUCACGAUAUGUUGCGCGUGAAAAGUUUCUCAGCUGCGAGUUGCCGGUCGUGAAACAGGCAGAAAUUCACGAUCUUCAUUGAGCAUCGAAUGAAAAACGUCCUGACGUUUUCCGCGAAUAACGGGCUCGGCAGUUCGCGCGGAAGCUGUUUCUGUCGCGACGUGAAUUCGAAUGAUCUGACUGUCCUCGUGCAAAUCUGGAAUGCGCAAUAACGCUGGAGACAACGUUAGCUAUCCGUGACGGAAACGAAUUCCAGCCGAAUCGCGCGGCGAAUCAUCGCGAACCGAAACGCCGAAUGGAAAAGCACCGAGACGAUAAUAAAAUUUCAUUAGGGAUAUCGCGUUGAUAGGAUCUAAGCAUCGAUAUGCCAGUAUGCGGUAAUGAUCUUAAAAUUUUGUUUAACGUCAUCUUGUCUUAAUCGCGUUUUGCAUCGAGUUAACAAGAUCUGCGGAGCUGAGUAGAGACUUUUUGUUCGAUAUAAUCUCAUUGAUGACGAAGCAUUUGCUAGAGUGUCUCUUUAUGACUAUAUGACAAAUUCGGACUGAUGACUUGUCGUAAGGUGGAUUGUUCAAAAACUAAUAAAUCGAGGAGGAAUCGUGAAAAACAGAAGAUUUACAAGGGUUUUGUCGUUUAAAUUUUAAUUUAAUUUAUAUUAGAGAAGCGCAGCGAAAACAGACUGUAGCGUAUGCCAAUCGAAAUAAGUUAGGACAAUCGAAUUACAAAUUAGCUUGAUGAAGGCAGUACGCGGUUUAAAUAGAAACGAAUUUAAUUCGAUGACCGAAACCAUGCAAGUCGUUAGGUUAACUAAUUUAGUAGAAAGUUGCGAGACUUUAUCCCGCUAAGCAGAUAUCUAUAGAUAAUACCAUGGCGCGAUAAUUGAAAUGGUCUGAUGCAAGUUACGCGCAGAUUCUGAGCUGAAACAGAGGGAUACAUAAUCGCGUACGAGGCCAUUACAAAGAUCAAAAUACAAAGCGAGCUUUGUGAAACGCGCUCCUAGAUAGUAUGGAAUCACUAACACGUGGCCGGUUAAUUAAACCGAUCCAAUUAGCAAUAGUAGUAACUUGUUUAUACUAAGGCAAUUAGUCGUUGAUAUCACGUAUCCAACUAUAUUUUAUCGCGAGACGAGACGAACGAGAACGAGAGACGAACAACACGACGAAAUUGCAGACAUGUAAUUUCCACUUAAUCCAAC
rnacentral:lncRNA from 1 species